AUUAUUGUAAAGGAAAGGAACGGCUCUGUGUUGGCCUGUUUUCGAAUAGUUUAUUAAAUUUCAUGAUACAAAAGGGGAAAUAUAUCUUGCUCUAAGCAACAAGUUACGGUUUCUGAUAACAGAGGCGGUGAUGCAAGAGGAAGAGGAGCAUAGCUUCCUCAAUGCACGAUCUGAUGAGGACAAGCGGGCAGCUGCAAUCACUGCCUCUGCAACCAAGUUUUGUCCCUGUAAAGAGAAGGGGGGGAAGGAGGGAGAAG
rnacentral:lncRNA from 1 species